rnacentral:misc_RNA from 1 species
GAUGAAGAACGUAGCGAAAUGCGAUAAGUAAUGUGAAUUGCAGAAUUCAGUGAAUCAUCGAAUCUUUGAACGCACAUUGCGCCCCUUGGUAUUCCGAGGGGCAUGCCUGUUCGAGCGUCAUUAUAACCCCUCAAGCUCAGCUUGGUGUUGGGGCCUGCCGCACGGGCAGCCCUUAAAAUCAGUGGCGGUGCCAUCUGGCUCUAAGCGUAGUAAUUCUUCUCGCUAUAGAGUUCCGGUGGAUGCUUGCCAUUAACCCCCAAUUUUCUAUGGUUGACCUCGGAUCAGGUAGGGAUACCCGCUGAACUUAAGCAUACAAUAAGCGGAGGA